GACGAACCGUGCGAACGUUGUUCGGAAUCACUGGGCUUAAGGGACGGCGUGAGCGGGCUGCCAAGUCCGGGGUGAAAUCUUUCGGCUCAACCGGAAAAUAGCCCUGGAUACUGGCAGUCUGGAGGGAGGUAGGGCAUGUGGAACUUCCGGUGGAGCGGUGAAAUGCGUAGAUAUCAGGAGGAACACCGAUGGCGAAGGCAGGUCUCUGGGCCAUAACUGACGCUGAGAAGCGAAAGCAUGGGGAGCGAACAGG
rnacentral:rRNA from 1 species